rnacentral:rRNA from 1 species
GACGUAGGGGGCGAGCGUUGUCCGGAUUUAUUGGGCGUAAAGAGCUCGUAGGUGGCUUGUCACGUCGGUUGUGAAAACCUGCAGCUUAACUGUGGGCGUGCAGCCGAUACGGGCGGGCUAGAGGCAGGUAGGGGAGAGUGGAACUCCUGGUGUAGCGGUGAAAUGCGCAGAUAUCAGGAAGAACACGGGUGGCGAAGGCGGCUCUCUGGACCUGGUCUGACGCUGAGGAGCGAAAGCGUGGGGAGCGAACAGG